rnacentral:rRNA from 1 species
UACGGAGGGUGCGAGCGUUGUCCGGAAUCAUUGGGCGUAAAGGGCGCGUAGGUGGCCACUUCAAGCGUGCGGUGAAAGUCGGGGGCUCAACCCCUGAUCGGCCGUGCGAACUGGGGGGCUGGAGCACUGUAGAGGCAGGCGGAAUUCCGGGUGUGAGCGGUGGAAGUGCGUAGAGAUCCGGAAGAACACCGGUGGCGAAGGCGGCCUGCUGGGCAGUUUUGCUGACACUGAGGCGCGACAGCGUGGGGGAGCAAACAGGG